rnacentral:rRNA from 1 species
AGAGUUUGAUCCUGGCUCAGGACGAACGCUGGCGGCGUGCCUAACACAUGCAAGUCGAGCGGGGACUAUGGAGGAGUAAUCUGAGAUAGUUCGAGCGGCGGACGGGUGAGUAACGCGUGAGCAACCUGUCCUUGUCUGGGGGAUAAGGAGCCGAAAGGCUCUCUAAUACCGCAUGAGACCACAGCGCCACAUGGUGCAGAGGUCAAAGGAGAAAUCCGGACAAGGGUGGGCUCGCGUCUGAUUAGCUAGUUGGUGGGGUAACAGCUUACCAAGGCAACGAUCAGUAGCCGACCUGAGAGGGUGAUCGGCCACAUUGGAACUGAGACACGGUCCAAACUCCUACGGGAGGCAGCAGUGGGAAUAUUGGGCAAUGGGCGAAAGCCUGACCCAGCAACGCCGCGUGAAGGAAGAAGGUUUUCGGAUCGUAAACUUCUAUCCUAGGUGAAGAUAAUGACGGUAGCCUAGAAGGAAGCCCCGGCUAACUACGUGCCAGCAGCCGCGGUAAUACGUAGGGGGCAAGCGUUGUCCGGAAUGAUUGGGCGUAAAGGGCGCGUAGGCGGCCAUGUAAGUCCGACGUGAAAGUCCUACUUUUAAGGUGGGAAUUGCGUUGGAAACUGCGUGGCUUGAGUGCAGGAGAGGUAAGUGGAAUUCCCGGUGUAGCGGUGAAAUGCGUAGAGAUCGGGAGGAACACCAGUGGCGAAGGCGACUUACUGGACUGUAACUGACGCUGAGGCGCGAAAGUGUGGGGAGCAAACAGGAUUAGAUACCCUGGUAGUCCACACUGUAAACGAUGAAUGCUAGGUGUAGGGGGUAUCGACCCCUUCUGUGCCGGAGUAAACACAAUAAGCAUUCCGCCUGGGGAGUACGGCCGCAAGGUUGAAACUCAAAGGAAUUGACGGGGGCCCGCACAAGCAGCGGAGCAUGUUGUUUAAUUCGAAGCAACGCGAAGAACCUUACCAGGUCUUGACAUCCAGUAAAACCCGUAGAGAUACGGUGUGAGUUUGCUCAUACUGAGACAGGUGGUGCAUGGUUGUCGUCAGCUCGUGUCGUGAGAUGUUGGGUUAAGUCCCGCAACGAGCGCAACCCUUGUGAUUAGUUACUAACGCGUAAAGGCGAGGACUCUAAUAAUACUGCCGGGGACAACUCGGAGGAAGGUGGGGACGACGUCAAAUCAUCAUGCCCCUUAUGACCUGGGCUACAAACGUGCUACAAUGGCCACUACAGAGAGCUGCGAAGUCGCAAGGCUAAGCGAAUCUCAUAAAAGUGGUCCCAGUUCGGAUUGUGGGCUGCAACCCGCCCACAUGAAGCCGGAGUUGCUAGUAAUCGCGGAUCAGCAUGCCGCGGUGAAUACGUUCCCGGGCCUUGUACACACCGCCCGUCACACCAUGGGAGUUAAUAGCGCCCGAAGUCGGUGAGGCAACCGUAAGGAGCCAGCCGCCGAAGGUGAGAUCAAUGACUGGGGUGAAGUCGUAACAAGGUA